CCCCAUCCCUCGAGUCCUAUCCCUCUCCCUCGUCUUCUGCCGCCGCCACCACCGGCGACCUCCUCAGCCGCUGCCACCACCCACGCCCUCCCCCACGUCUGACGCUGUCACCCCUUCUCUCCUCCUCUCACCUUCUCCUCACCAUCCACGACCCCCCCCCCCCCCCCCCCCCCCCCCCCCCCCCCCCCCCCCCCCCCCUCGCCGCAGCAGGCCCGGACUGACGCAGGCUCAGAUCCGACAUGCCCACAACCCUGGUUCCGCUUCAGGACGCCAUGGAUAGCCAUGGAUAAGGAGAACAUCUCUCUAUCCCUCUUUGCUGAAUCAAGUUGGUGCUCCUGCAACCUCACCCCCUCCCCCAAACAAGCAGACCCAACCCUAGCCCUUCCUUCCAUGACGACUAGGAGGUGUAGCACAGAUGCUAGCAAAGAAAGUUGAUACCUUAAUACCCAAUAAAAAGAUGAUGAUGCUAGAGGUUGCUGCCAUGGAGAAAGAAGUUACAGCUAUGCUUGUCGAUAAGGAUCAAGAAAUGAAAGCCAUGCAGCUUGGUAAUUCAAAAUGGUCUGGGAAUUCUCACUUCUCAAAUGCUUCCGGAAGGUCCAUCUUCACACGGGAUGAAAUCUUGUUCUGUCCGACAUGAGCACAUGAGAAAAAUGUUACUAGGUCCUUGCAAUGAACAGAUUCAUGCAUGGAAUUGGUAAGGCCAAUCAUCUUCGGUGCAGAAGCUUGAGAUUUAUGAACCAACAUCUCAUCGAACUAUCAGGGUUCCUUUGUUUUUGUAUGCAUGUUCAGAGGAUGAACCUGUCAUACUCGUGGCGUACGUUGCUGGUUUACACGCUGCUGCCGGCCAAGAAGGUGACAUGCUUCUUUCUUCAUUUUGGCACUUUUUUUCUUGGACAUGGGAAUUUGUUGCAUUAACUGUAGUGAUGGAUAUUUCAGUUUCCCUAUAUGAUUUUCUAAACUGUGACCCGUGAGUGGUUCAGUAGAUAGGUUUUACAAGAAAUUUCAGAUUAGGGGCUAUCAUUGUCAUAGCUAGUAUGGUUUGCAGAGGUAGAUCUUGCAAGUUUGAUUUAGUUAAGUUUCUUUAGCCUUGUUGAGAUGACAUGGCACUGAUAAAUCCAUUUUGUUAGCUGAGAGCAAAAAACUGUUCAUGAGCUUUUGUAAUUGUGAACCUGGGAUGGAUGGUGUUUUCUUAUAGGGUGGUGAUUUGAUAAGCACAAAGGCAGAAUAUGUAUUCUGGUAGCUCUUAACUGAUUGAUGUUUUUGUUAUUGUUCAAAUCACUUAAUUAAAUUUAGUUAUAGUAAAAAAAAUCCAUGUCCAUCACGUGACAUGCUCCAUUAAAAACAUGCCCUCUUGUACUGAUCCACACAUGUCUGUCAUGUUACUUGAUGCUCCUUUUAGUCACCUGGUUAUAUACUCGCAUCAUAGGAUCAGUGUACUAACAAUUGCUAACCUUCGUGUACCAAACCAGAGCUAAAUAAUAUAAUGCCUGCACUUACCUCACCUCAUAUCAGUGCAAAUGCUGAUUUUUAUCAUGUUUUCUGAUUAUAAAUUUACUUACUUUGGUGAAGAAAGAAAAAUAUUACAUUUAGGUCCAAUAUUUUUAUAGAACCAUGCCCCAGGCAUGUUCCUCACCAGUCAUAUUAACAUGACAUAAGUCAUGUGCGCAUUUUCCUCAUUAGUCUACUAAAAUAAAAUGUUCUUUCUACUAGGCACAGGGCUCUGAGUAGCAGCAAAAAAGCAAAAAAAUAGUCAUUCAAUACUAUUUAGUAAAGUCUGCAACAGAACAUAUUAAGUAGGGACUACGCUUAUUGCUAAACUUAUCAUGUCUGCUAAAUGAAGGUAGGAAGAAGUUCAUUUUUGCACUCAUAAUGUGAUAGCUUAACUAAGUUUCUCUUUGGUUGUUUGAAGAUCCAAGUUAAUGGUCAAAAUUCAGUGGAUGAUGCAAGUCUUUUCUUAAUGGAUCAGGGAAAGGUAUUUUUUCUCUUGAUAGGAUUAUUGCACUCACCAGUUGAGUACUCAGGUAUUUGUUCUCAUCUUUAUGAUGUAAUGAACGUUCAGGGCAUGCAGUAUUUUCCAGUCAUUUUGACUUCUUGCCGUAUGUUGGCCGACUCUCAUUCGGUUCAGAUAUUUCUCUUCCUUGCUUUGGCUCAAAGUUCUUACUUGCAAAAGCGAAACACUAUCAGUUGAAAUCUGAUGGCCGCAAUCACGAUUAAUUUUUAUGCACUUUAAUUAGGUUUAGCUAAAAAAACGUUUUUUUACAUUCAAGACAGUAGGAAUUAGGAAAGACUCCUACUGACAUAUAUAUUUCAUACUAACAAGUUACAUGUAGCAUUUUUUUGUUACAAUACAUGUAGUGGUACAUAUAUAUUUCAUACUAACAAUCCGUUUCUUGCUGCUAGAUAAUAGUUGCUAUAUUAUAAUCCCCAAUGAAAAUGGGCAAUAGAGGGUAAAUAGUUGCAGAACUUUUGUGGAGAAAUCUUGCUGCUAGAUAACACAUGAAUUUUGCCUCGAGGCAGUUAAUCAGGUUUCUGAAUUGGUUCAGAUUCUCUACAGGUUUAGGCACUUCAAUGUUGGUGACACAAAUUUUUGCACUGCUACUAAUUGUACUAUAUGUUAUUCUUUAGUAGGGAUAUUGGCAUGGGGAUAACAUAUAAUAAAAACAAGAAUAAUCAUCACUCUCACAGCUACAUUACUACGUCCUUUUGUUUCAUUGAGACCUAUUUUGUUUACUUGUCUCAUUUCGAGACAAACUUCUCUGAAUUUUGUUGAUUCACGUUGAACAACACAUUUGAACGGAAGGUGUUGAGUGGACAACUUCAGCGAUUGGUGAGUUAGAGCUCAAUCCUGUCUCCCUGCACCCCACUAAAUCUGAUUCUCAUUUUUUUAUCUCGCCUGAUAUUAAUUCUCGGUAUUCUCCCUGCCUAAUUAUUUUCUUUCUUGUUCCCAGAGUUCUUACUUACUACUCCAUCCGUUCAUAAAUGACGGUGGGACUAUUAUAUGCUCUUGCUGAUGUAAUAGAUUGGUUGGUUUGAUCAAAAUCAAAUGGGAUUCUUCUAGGUUUGCUAGAAAAUGAUGCAAGACAACGAGGAAGCCCUUAUCAGCCGAUGGACGUGUCGGCUGCUGCAGCUAGUGGUUCUUUGGGCGAGCAAGGGUAGCGCCGUCCUUCUCCUGCUCAAGACACUGCGUCAACCUUGGUGGCACACGCAACCACUGGCUGCACUAUGACGAGCACGAAUUCUUGGUCGUCGAGACGUUAGCAUUCAGCAAUGAGGAAGGUGGCUUGGUGGGGUCGGCGGAGGGUGUUGUCCAGUUGUGGUGGACGUAAAGGCGGAUGAAUUCAUUGUGUAGAUGAACCGCAACUACAAGUCCAGUGGCUGCAAUACAAUGACAUGAUGAAGAGGAGCAGUCAUAUGUAAUGCAUAAGCUGUACAUGCAUGUGUGUUAUCAAUCAGAGCUAAAAUCCAAUGCAAA